rnacentral:rRNA from 1 species
UACAGAGGGGGCAAGCGUUGUUCGGAAUUACUGGGCGUAAAGGGCGCGUAGGCGGCCUGCUAAGUCGAACGUGAAAUCCCCGAGCUCAACUCGGGAACUGCGUCCGAUACUGGCAGGCUUGAAUCCGGGAGAGGGAUGCGGAAUUCCUGGUGUAGCGGUGAAAUGCGCAGAUAUCAGGAGGAACACCGGUGGCGAAGGCGGGUCUCUGGGCCGUAACUGACGCUGAGGCACGAAGGUCAGGGGAGCAAACGGG